rnacentral:misc_RNA from 1 species
AUGCGAACUCGAUUUCUCAACACCGAUUACUUCACCUCCUAUCACUCCCCAAACGAAACCCUAAGCUUCCUCAAUCUCCCAGUUCCUCACCUUCCUCCUUGUUGUCUGCUGAACUUCGAAGAUCAUUUCUCUCGUUUCGAUCCCGAAGCGAAUAUAUCUCUUGAGGUUGAGAGAUUGCCGAUUGAUUCUGCUUUCUCUAAGUUUAUCUCACAAGUGAUACCUGGAAAAAUUGACGUUGACUAUGAAGAUUUCGAGGAUCAUCAGUUACGUAAUGCCGAUGAUCGGAGGUGGUUUAGCUGUGGAAGUGAAGACAUCCGAUACUACGAGGUUAUUGAUUUAAAUUUUUGAUUUACUUUUUUUUCCAUUCCUGCGUAUUCUCUUUCCCAAAAAAUCAUUUAUUAUGCUAAAAAUUUGA